ACAUGCAAGUCGAGCGGACCGACGGGAGCUUGCUCCCUUAGGUCAGCGGCGGACGGGUGAGUAACACGUGGGUAACCUGCCUGUAAGACUGGGAUAACUCCGGGAAACCGGGGCUAAUACCGGAUGCUUGAUUGAACCGCAUGGUUCAAUCAUAAAAGGUGGCUUUYAGCUACCACUUACAGAUGGACCCGCGGCGCAWUAGCUAGUUGGUGAGGUAACGGCUCACCAAGGCGACGAUGCGUAGCCSACCUGAGAGGGUGAUCGGCCACACUGGGACUGARACACGGCCCAGACUCCUACGGGAGGCAGCAGUAGGGAAUCUUCCGCAAUGGACGAAAGUCUGACGGARCAACGCCGCGUGAGUGAUGAAGGUUUUCGGAUCGUAAAACUCUGUUGUUAGGGAAGAACAAGUACCGUUCGAAUAGGGCGGUACCUUGACGGUACCUAACCAGAAAGCCACGGCUAACUACGUGCCAGCAGCCGCGGUAAUACGUAGGUGGCAAGCGUUGUCCGGAAUUAUUGGGCGUAAAGCGCGCGCAGGCGGUUUCUUAAGUCUGAUGUGAAAGCCCCCGGCUCAACCGGGGAGGGUCAUUGGAAACUGGGGAACUUGAGUGCAGAAGAGGAGAGUGGAAUUCCACGUGUAGCGGUGAAAUGCGUAGAGAUGUGGAGGAACACCAGUGGCGAAGGCGACUCUCUGGUCUGUAACUGACGCUGAGGCGCGAAAGCGUGGGGAGCGAACAGGAUUAGAUACCCUGGUAGUCCACGCCGUAAACGAUGAGUGCUAAGUGUUAGAGGGUUUCCGCCCUUUAGUGCUGCAGCAAACGCAUUAAGCACUCCGCCUGGGGAGUACGGUCGCAAGACUGAAACUCAAAGGAAUUGACGGGGGCCCGCACAAGC
rnacentral:rRNA from 1 species